rfam:Triticum aestivum genome assembly, contig: Triticum_aestivum_CS42_TGACv1_scaffold_212962_3AS
CAAGUACUCCCUCCGUCCGGAAUUACUUGUCAUCAAAAUGGAUGUGUCUAGAACUAAAAUACAUCUAGAUACAUCCAUUUCAAUGACAAGUAUUUUUGGACGGAGGGAGUACAAG